rnacentral:rRNA from 1 species
UUAAAAAGCUCGUAGUUGGAUUUCGGUUAAGAGCGACCGGUCCGCCGUUUGGUGUGCACUGGUUGGUUUUAACUUCCUGUAGAGGACGUGCUCUGGGCUUAACGGUCUGGACUCGGAGUCUACGUGGUUACUUUGAAAAAAUUAGAGUGUUCAAAGCGGGCUUACGCUUGAAUAUUUCAGCAUGGAAUAACACUAUAGGACUCCUGUCCUAUUUCGUUGGUCUCGGGACGGGAGUAAUGAUUAAGAGGAACAGUUGGGGGCAUUCGUAUUUCAUUGUCAGAGGUGAAAUUCUUGGAUUUAUGAAAGACGAACUUCUGCGAAAGCAUUUGCCAAGGAUGUUUUCAUUAAUCAAGAACGAAAGUUGGGGGCUCGAAGAUGAUUAGAUACCAUCCUAGUCUCAACCAUAAACGAUGCCGACUAGGGAUUGGCGGAUGUUAAUUGAUGACUCCGCCAGCACCUUAUGAGAAAUCAAAGUUUUUUGGGUUCCGGGGGGGAGUAUGGUCGCAAGGCUGAAACUUAAAGGAAUUGACGGAAGGGCACCACCAGGCGUGGAGCCUGCGGCUUAAUUUGACUCAACACGGGAAAAACUUACCA